rnacentral:tRNA from 1 species
GACCUAGUAGCUCAGUUGGAAGAGCAUUGGAUUAGCAAACCAAAGGUCGCUGGUUCGAUUCCCUCCGUGGUCA